rnacentral:rRNA from 1 species
AACGAACGCUGGCGGCAUGCCUAACACAUGCAAGUCGAACGAGACCUUCGGGUCUAUUGGCGCACGGGUGCGUAACGCGUGGGAACCUGCCCUUAGGUUCGGAAUAACUCCCCGAAAGGGGUGCUAAUACCGGAUAAUGUCUUCGGACCAAAGAUUUAUCGCCUUUGGAUGGGCCCGCGUUGGGUUAGCUUGUUGGUAGGGUAAAAGCCUACCAAGGCGACGAUCCAUAGCUGGUCUGAGAGGAUGAUCAGCCACACUGGGACUGAGACACGGCCCAGACUCCUACGGGAGGCAGCAGUGGGGAAUAUUGGACAACGGGCGAAAGCCUGAUCCAGCAAUGCCGCGUGAGUGAUGAAGGCCUUAGGGUUGUAAAGCUCUUUUACCCGGGAUGAUAAUGACAGUACCGGGAGAAUAAGCUCCGGCUAACUCCGUG